GUAACCUGUUGCUAAUAUCAACAAUACAACCCAAUCUAUCAAUGGUCUAUUAACUUAAAACAAGUAAACAGAUAACAUAACGCGUGAAAUAAUGGUUUAUUGCCUUUUACGAAGUAAUGACAACAUGAAGAAACUCGUGUUUGUUUUUUCGUUGCUUUUCUUGGGUUUUCGUCGUCGUCAAGACGUGUACUGGAUCCGAAGCUUCCGCAUCUUGCGAUAUUAAUGGAUAUGUUGACGGAUGUGUUUAUAAGAACGGUUCAAGGCAUGGAGACACCUGAAGUACAUGAUUUCAUGAUACAUUAUCCAAUACAUCCGACGAUGCGAAGGGAGAAAGAUGAGACUUAUAAGCAGUGGGAUAUGAAACUGCGAGCGCAGAUUAAGAAGGAAUUGGCGAAGAAGAUUGCGCGAUUGCGUAAUAAGGAUAAGGAUAAGAACAAGGAGAAGGAAAGGGAAAGAUAUUUCAGAUAUGAAUGAAAGCAUCUGGUAUAUAUUCUUUUAUUAUUUGGAUGUUUGCUAAGUUUCAAGGCCUGUAACUUUUUUAGUUUUUGUGCUAUAAUAAUAAAUUAAGUAUUAUUGUAUGGAGAA